GUCUCUGUAGUUAAACGGAUAUAACAAACCCCUCCUAAGGGUUAGUUACAGGUUCGAAUCCUGUCGGAGACAUCA
rnacentral:tRNA from 1 species